GCGAGAAUAGCUCAGCUGGUAGAGCACAACCUUGCCAAGGUUGGGGUCG
rnacentral:tRNA from 1 species